CUAUAUAUAUAAAAAAUGUUCCUUCUCUCUUAUGCUGCCACGUCAUUAAGUCGUUCAUCCUCAGACUGACGUGUGUCCCUCCUAAACAAAACUCUGCGUUUCAUUUUUUUUUGCAAUUCGGUCGCCCCCCUCCGUUGUGACCUACUUCCUUCGCAGCGUGAGCCCACGUUCAUCGUUUCGUCGCUGCGACUUCCUAUACUCUCGCAACAGAACCCAUGGUAUUUCCUAGCUCCCAAAGUCAUCGAUCUCACCUCCAAUUGGAGUCCGAUUUUAAUUUUGUGAUGAAUCUCUGCCUCAAUCUCGGUUAAUAUAGAGCAGCAUUAUGUGGCUCAGGGUUCGAGUAUUGUUCGCUACUUUCAUAAGAACGAGAGGUUCGACAAUGUGGAGCUCUCUGGUGUUGCUAAGAAUAUUGGUGAUCACAUCUCUCAACUAUUUCCCUCCGGCGCCAUAGGUGAAGCUCUUAUACUCUUCUUUCAGUCAAAGCAGUUUAUUGAAUCACUAGGAAAUAUAUGGGGAAGAUCUAGAUGAUUUGAAUGUGGCAUUGUAUUUGGAGUGGAAGUAGCUUUGGGUUAUGAGGAGAUUUGUUCAGAUUCUUCUGGGAACAGAAUGUUUAUUAGGAGAAAGCAUCAAUACAUGAAACUUAUCAAUCCUUUCACCAUGGAAGACAGAUUAAUGUCUCGACUACGGAGAGAGAAAAUGUCAUGGAGAAAAAUAUGUUUAGCCCCUUUCCAUCACAUUGCCAUUUAUUUUGAGGAUAUUGGUUUUACUGAUGGUACAAAAGUAAUUAACAAGAACUCUGGAGAUUUUAUUAGCCGAGCUCAAAGUUGUAGAAUUCCUUAAAUAAGGAAGUUGGAAGCUUUAGUUCUUUAUGUUAAGAGGAUAGUUGGAGAUGAGAGUGGAAUAUCUAAUAAUGGGAUUGGUACACAUCUCACUAUCUGUUUAUUAACGUAAGAUUUGUUUAUUA